AGCAGCCGCGGUAAUUCCAGCUCCAAUAGCGUAUAUUAAAGUUGCUGCAGUUAAAAAGCUCGUAGUUGAAUUUCGGGACUAAUAUGUCGGUCGUGCCUCGGUACGUACUGGCUUAUUGGUUUCUCCUUUCUGAAGAACCAUGGUGUCAUUAAUUUGGUGUCGUGGAGAAUCAGGACUGUUACCUUGAAAAAAUUAGAGUGUUUAUAGCAGGCUAACGCUUGAAUACAUUAGCAUGGAAUAAUGAAAUAGGACGUUCGACCCUAUUUUGUUGGUUUCUAGGAUCGACGUAAUGAUUAAUAGGGAUAGUUGGGGGCAUUAGUAUUCAAUUGUCAGAGGUGAAAUUCUUGGAUUUAUUGAAGACUAACUACUGCGAAAGCAUUUGCCAAGGAUGUUUUCAUUAAUCAAGAACGAAAGUUAGGGGAUCGAAGACGAUCAGAUACCGUCGUAGUCUUAACCAUAAACUAUGCCGACUAGGGAUCGGAUGAUGUUAAUUUUUUAAUGACUCAUUCGGCGCCUUAAC
rnacentral:rRNA from 1 species